rnacentral:lncRNA from 1 species
GAAUUAUGUUAUCUGAUGCUUAUCCAGUUGAUCUAAGGUCCCACACAUUACAAAGUAUCGUGAAUCAAGAUUCCUUGAGUCCAAAUUUAGAUAAUAUGUAUGAUUAGUACUUAGGUUUAGAUAUGUUAUAGGUAUGAAACUGUCUCAGUUUGAUCAUUUUCACUUCAAUUUAUAUUAUAGUUGUAUUAGUUAAGUCUUGAAAUUGAGAAACUCCAUAUCAACUCCAUGAAACACUAAUGAAGAAAAUAGGAUUUUGGAAGUUAAAUCAACACUACAAGCAAAAAUAGUUUCUUGAAUAAAUGAAAAAAUUAUCAUAUAUAGCAUGUGUCCAAAACUUGGAGUUAAUUAUUUUCCGUCUUUGCUGAUAGUAACAGAGCUAUUUCUCCACUUAUAUUCCCACCAUAUUUUCAAUACCUUUACAUAAAUUAGUUUCUUAAAGAUACUGCAUGUCUUUGAUCUGGGUAUUUGAUGUUCCUUUUUAUAACAAUAGCAAAGGCUUUCUUGAUCUUGAGUGACCAUAUACAAACUGUGCGAAGGUUUUACUUUGAAGAGAAAAUGCAAUCCUUUAGAUUUUCUCUGAAUAUUCAUACCUUACUCAUGCAAUAACAGCCCUGAAAUUGGAUGUCAAAAUAGAUAGAUUGUCUAGCAAUUUAUCUGAAAAUAUAGGGGUUAAGAACUUAAGAUCUAGUAGAGGAAGGGCUGUGAAGCUGAAUCUUCAUUAUAUCAAGCUGCCCCAAUAAUUUAUACAUCUUAAUCUGUUGUAGCUUCUAGUCUUAUAUUAAUUCCCUUGAUAAGCUUUCUCUUAAUGUUGGAUCCCUUCAGAGGAAAUUACUUCAAUUCACUCUGCUAGAUUUGAUAAUGUGCAAUGACAAAAAAAAAGAAGAUUAGAAGGUACAAUAGAAUUAGGCAAAAGCUGAUCAUUACGAGUUAAAAGCGAGGGAUAAAAAAUACGAAAGUCAUUUUCCAAACUCAAUAGUGUAAUACAAAAUUUAUUUCUAUUUUUCUACUGUCCACUUCACCUUCCCUUAGAAUCUCUAUAUGUCUCUCCUCCUCACCCUCCUUUAGAAUUUCUCUCUCUCUCUCUCUCUCUCUCUCUCUCUCUCUCUCUCUCUCUCGUGCUUUUUAGGCAUUUAUUCGCUUGGAAUUUCUUCCGACAAAUCUAAGAACCUAACUCAUGGGCACUCUUGCUGCUAUUCUUGCUUAAUUACUAGCAUUGAAUUUGUCAUACCUGAUCUUCACUGAUUGUCUCAGUGCAUCGAUAGAGCUCCAAAUAAUCAGUUGUUCGCUGUAACUGAAAUAUAUUUGUGCUAUUGCUGCAAAAGGAAGUUGUCAAUUUGGGGCUAAGAUAGACAAUUUCACAUACUGUUCUGUCUUACCAAUGACUUUCUUGGUUGCCGUUGUGUAUUACGAAAGAGGAUUAUUUAGCCUAUCUGACAAAUCAAAUUUCCUUAUCUUUUAUGAUUUAUUGCCUUAUGCAGAUCCAAGCUGCCUUUAGAACUGAUGAGAUUCGAAGAACUCCUCCCACUCCCCAAGAUGAAAUGCGUGCCGGGAUGAGCUAUUUCCAUGAGACAAUAUGGAAGGGUGUUCCUAAGUUCUUGCGUAGAGUCGAUACUGCUCUAAAGAACAUUGGGAUAAAUGAACGUGUUCCGUACAAUGCCCCUCUUAUCCAGUUCUCUUCUUGGAUGGGUGGCGAUCGUGAUGGUAUGAGUUAUCUUAAUGAAGUUGUAAUUUUUCUAAUUUUCCAGAGUAUUGUCUAUUUCAUUAGAAGUUUAGAACUUACUCGAAUAAUGCAGUCUAAUUUUUAAUGCUAUCUAUUAUUCCUCUUCAGAGAGGAAUUGACUACACAGAAAGUUGAAACAGCACUAUGCCUAUCUUCUUUUAUCUAACAGGAUAUUUUACAUUUAUGUCCCUGCAAAAUUAUUCAUAUACAUAUAUAUAUAUAUAUAUAUAUAGAGUCCGGCUACUAUACUCUUAUGAGUACGAUCGCCCUCGUACUCAUAAGUCAUUUUCGAUGAUAGAGCUUCCGAAUCAACGAUCCAUACCGUUAAACGUUUUAUAUAGUAUUUAAAAUUUCUAGAAAUCAAAUUUUAUAAUUUUUCGACAUCAUUUACCUUACAAUCAAGAGGUCACAAAUAUAUAUAUAUAUAUAUAUAUAUUUAUAUAUAUAUAUAUAUAUAUAGAGUAGGGCUACUAUACUAUUAUGAGUAGUGGGCCCUUAGGUUGUUUUCGAUGAUGGAGCUUCCGAAUCGACAAUCCACUCCAUUAAAUAUGAUCUAGAGUAUUUGAAACUUUUAGAAAAUAAAUUUUGUAAUUUUUCGAAAUCAUAAUAAAGUCCAUCAAGCGGGCAUAAAAUUAAUGGUCAAAAUCGAACAUCGUCUAAAAAUGGAUGAUCGGAUCCUUUAAUUUAAGAUCGGAGUUAUUGAUCUUUAUUUAGGUAGUUAAUAGAAUUUUCUAUCAAAAAUUCAACCUAUUCCGAUUCUUUUCCACCGUUAAACUAGCAAGUAUCCCAUACCGGCCGUUAAAAAUUGUCAAUUUUGUGAGCUUUUGAUCGUAAGGUAAAUGAUGUCAAAAAAUUAUGAAAUUUAAUUUCUAGCGGUUUUAAAUACUCUAGAUAAUGUUUAAUGGUGUGGAUCGUCGUUUCGGAAGCUCUAUCAUCGAAAACAACUUAUGAGUACGAGGGCGAUCGUACUCAUAAGAGUAUAGUAGCCGGACUCUAUAUAUAUAUAUAUAUAUAUAUAAAGAGAGUGUUGGGCNAUAUAUAUAUAUAUAUAUAUAGAACUAGGCUGGAAUACUAUUAAUAGCACCAAUGACUUGGUGCUAUUAAGUUUUUUGCCCUUGGAUUAAAAGAUGUGCGGUUAGGAUGAUGUGGGCCCUCUAGGGUUGAGUGGGUGGUUGGUUGAAUAGUAUGAUCUAACGGGUAAAAAUAAUCAAAGGGGUUAAUCUAACGGCAGAAAACUUGAUAGCACCAAGUGCUUGGUGCUAUCGAUAGCAUGGAAGCCGGACUCAUAUAUAUAUAUACUCCUGUAAAAAUCUUACUUUUAAUAUAUAGUCAUAGAAAUUGUAUAUUGGUACCAAAAUACCUUGUUUAGUCAUUAAUUACAUGGGGUGUGUUGAUUUUGUAUCGGAAAUUUUUUUUUUUUUUUAAGUGGUACCUUAAUGAGAGUAAAAGAGUUUUCAUGUGAGAUAUUAAAUUUGUGAACGACACAAAAAUUGAGAUUUUGCUGGGAUAUAUAUGUGACUAGUUAAUUUUGCGAGGGUGAAUAUUUAUAUAUGUUACUACCUCUCUCUAAUGUAUCUGUUACUGUAGAUAGCAUCAGUUAUUGGAACAAGAUUCCCUAUAUGCCUUAUUUGUAAGGUCCAAUCUAACCCCUUUAUAAUAUUAUAGGAAAUCCAAGAGUGACACCAGAGGUUACAAGGGAUGUUUGCUUGCUGGCUAGAAUGAUGGCUGCAAACUUGUAUUAUUCCCAGAUAGAGGAUCUAAUGUUUGAGGUAUCAAAUAGUACAUUGUUACGUAAAGGUAGUUUGUGUGAAUCUCAACUUUGCUGAUAAAGUUGCAACUGUUUGUCAGUUGUCUAUGUGGCGCUGCAGUGAUGAACUCCGAGUGCGAGCUGAUGAACUACACCGCUCCUCGAAGAAAGAUGCUGCGAAACACUAUAUAGGUACAUGAACAUCCAGUUUCUUUCCUGGAUUUAUGGAGUUGCAUUGUCUUUUGCUUCAAAUGAAACUUUGGCCACCUUUUCUUUCAGAAAGAUUUUUGACAAACAUAUAGGUACAUCUCUUUGAGUUUUAAUUAUUUGAAGAAUGGUUUGCACUGCAAAGCAUCUUUUUCCCUUUACUUUUCUUGGUGUUCGUAGUGAUGUUUCUUAACUAUGCUUACUGUGUGAAAGUACAAAUAUACAUUUAUAUUCUCCUUUAGCGUGCUUCUUUCUUUUAACAUACUUAUUUUCCUCAGCGUAUUAGGCCAAAUUAGUGCAGUAAACAGAAGCCAGCGCUUUAAUAGAUUUUCUAAUAUUUCUUGUUCCUGCCCCAAUGCAGAAUUCUGGAAACAAGUUCCUCCAAGUGAGCCAUACCGCGUCAUACUUAGCGAUGUCAGGGAUAAACUAUACAACACUCGUGAGCGCUCCCGUCAUUUAUUAUCAAAUGGAUAUUCUGACAUUCCCGAGGAAGUUAGUUUCACCGAUGUUGAGCAGGUAACUGAUAGAAACAUUAACUAUGUUAUUCUUGAAAGAGAUCUAUUACACUUGAUUUUCAACCAAAUGAGGAUGUUCAGACCUUCAACACUAAAAUUGUAAUUCAUUGAGAAAUUACAUGAGAUUCUGCACUUCUUCAUUUUCAUUGAAUUAAAACUUCAUUGCCUUCUCUUGCAGUUCUUGGAGCCUCUUGAGCUCUGCUACCGAUCCCUUUGUGCAUGCGGUGAUAGACCCAUCGCCGAUGGAAGCCUCCUUGACUUUUUACGCCAAGUCUCAACCUUCGGCCUCUCUCUUGUCAGACUAGACAUUAGGCAGGAAUCGGACCGACACACUGACGUUAUUGACGCCAUAACUAAGCACUUAGGAAUCGGAUCGUAUCGCGAAUGGCCUGAAGAGAAACGCCAAGAAUGGCUUUUAUCUGAACUUAAUGGCAAACGGCCGUUAUUUGGCCCCGACCUCCCCAAAACAGAGGAAAUUGCUGAUGUUUUGGAUACAUUGCACGUCAUAGCUGAACUCCCCUCAGAUAACUUUGGUGCGUACAUUAUCUCCAUGGCCACAGCCCCUUCAGAUGUUCUAGCUGUUGAAUUAUUACAAAGGGAGUGCCAUGUGAAGAAACCCUUGAGAGUUGUGCCGCUUUUCGAGAAGCUUGCAGAUCUCGAGGCGGCCCCCGCUGCUGUUGCUCGUCUGUUCUCUGUUGAGUGGUAUAGGAACAGGAUCAAUGGAAAGCAGGAAGUCAUGAUCGGGUAUUCGGAUUCUGGGAAGGAUGCUGGCCGGCUCUCUGCGGCAUGGCAGUUAUAUAAAGCCCAAGAAGAGCUCGUUAAAGUAGCCAAGCAGUUCGGGGUGAAACUGACUAUGUUCCAUGGGAGAGGUGGAACUGUUGGGAGAGGAGGUGGCCCGACUCAUCUUGCUAUAUUGUCUCAGCCGCCAGACACGAUUCAUGGGUCGCUUAGGGUUACUGUUCAGGGCGAAGUAAUUGAACAGUCAUUUGGGGAGGAGCACUUGUGCUUUAGGACACUUCAGCGUUUCACUGCCGCUACUCUCGAGCAUGGUAUGCAUCCCCCCAUUCCUCCCAAGCCGGAGUGGCGGGCCCUGAUGGACGAGAUGGCUGUUGUGGCUACUAAGGAGUAUAGGUCGAUUGUCUUCCAAGAACCGCGUUUUGUUGAAUAUUUCCGCCUGGUAAGUUUUGGAUUUUGUCAGUUUGCCAAAUUCGGAUGAUUCUCCAGCCAUUAGCUGUUACAUAGUGUUGUUCCUGCUUAGUGACCACCACAUAGGGAGGGUGCUUCUCAACCUUUUAUUGGAGUUUCAUUUUUUGGUCCCCAAUCUUUCAAUUGCUAGCAUUAGUUACCAAUCUUCCAUUUAUUAUUAAUGCUACCAUUCUGGUCAAAUUUGACAGCAAUAUCCAUAUAAUCAUCGUCUAACUGUCACCUAAUUGACCUUUGAAAAGGUCGGUUGCAAGGCAACGCAAAGGGUAGGACCCAGUCAUAACAAUUGAAAGUUUGGGAUGAAAGUGAAACCUCUUAAAACGGUUGGGGACUUCUGGUGCUAUUUACGUAGUACCUGAGAUAGAGUAAUUUGUUACGAUCAUGGUCGUUCGAUGUUCCUUAGUUUUUCUUUUCUUUGCUUCUCAUUGUCUCUGUUAUUGCGUAAUGUAUCGCUAAUGAUGGUAAACUUGAUUAGGCAACACCGGAGAUGGAAUAUGGUAGGAUGAACAUCGGAAGCAGGCCAGCAAAGAGAAAGCCGAGUGGGGGCAUUGAAUCUCUACGUGCAAUCCCAUGGAUUUUCGCAUGGACUCAGACUCGCUUCCACCUUCCUGUGUGGCUCGGCUUUGGCGCGGCAUUCAAGUAUGUCAUGGAAAAGGAUAUCAGGAAUAUUCACACUCUCCAGGAGAUGUACAAUGCAUGGCCCUUCUUCAGGGUUACAAUUGACUUAGUUGAGAUGGUUUUUGCCAAGGGAAAUCCUGGGAUAGCUGCUUUGUACGAUAAACUGCUGGUGUCUGAGGAUUUAUGGCCAUUUGGUGAGCGACUUAGAAACAACUAUGAAGAAACCAAAAAGCUGCUUCUUCAGGUAAUUCUGUUUUUCCUAACUGCUGUCUUUUGUAAAACACUUUGAUGCCAUGUGCCGGCUAAUCUUAUAAUGGGCGAAAACGGUUCGGAGAUGGACUGGAUAGUGGGUAAACCACAUCCCUAUCCAUAUAUUUCUUGUGAAUGUGGAUGUGGAUACAGAUAUCAACAUAUAUUUGUUUCGCAAAGAGACACAAAUCAGAAACAAUUUAUCCAUGCUCUUUCCAAGGAAUUAUGUAGUGCCACAUCAAUGCAAUGUAUGGAACAAACAGAAUAGCGUUCAUAUCAAAAAGCAUGAAAAAUUAUACAUCUUGUUAAACAUCUAUAAUAUACACUAUAAUUUCUAACAUAAUGUUUGGAUAGAGUACCUCGACCCAUGUCUGUAACCGGAAAAAGUGAAUGUUUUCUGAUCUAUUUUCACCCUCAAAUUUUGUUAUUUCCAGAAUAUUUGUUCAUGAAGCCAUCCUACUAACAUGUUCUAUUCUGGGAAUUAGGUUGCUGCCCACAAGGAUCUUCUGGAAGGGGACCCUUACUUGAAACAGAGGCUACGCCUCCGUAACGCGUACAUCACAACCCUAAAUGUGUGCCAAGCUUACACGCUGAAGCGGAUAAGGGACCCGAAUUACGAUGUUGAAGUCCGGCCCCACCUAUCAAAGGAGGUAAUGGAGUCGACCAAGCCAGCGGCAGAGCUCGUCAAGCUGAACCCCACAAGCGAGUACGCCCCCGGCCUCGAGGACACUCUCAUUCUAACUAUGAAGGGCAUUGCUGCUGGUAUGCAGAACACUGGUUAGAGUGUGUUUCUUUGUUACUAAUACUACUAUGUUAAUGGGACAAACUUUGGUUCUGUUAUCUUUUUUUUUCUCUUUUUUAUGUAUGCGGCUACUCGUGUGGAGGGGAGCUCUUGUGGCUCCUUUGCUUUAAUAAUAUAUGAAUAAUGUGAUAAGAAAAGAACAAUGCUUGAGAAAGGUAGAGGCAUCAUAUAUCUAUGCUCUGCGAGAUUAUCACGGAGUUUGGUUGUUCUGAGCUACAUUUGGUCUUUUGCCUUUUUAGUUAGUUACUAUUAUGAUUUGAUUGUCUAUGCUAGUUUGAUCUAAUCAUAGGCUAUACUUAGGAAAUGGAAUUAGAGCAUCCUGAGGUACAUGAAAAGGAGAAUUAACUCACAGGAUAAUUUAGAAUAGCUUCUAUGUGCAGCUGCUUCAGAACUGGAAACUUACAUAUCUAGAAUUACUUAUUAUAAUUUAGUAAAUGGAAACAAAAAACUCGCUGCAGGAUAAUGAUGCCAGUGGAGUGUUCACAGUUGGAUUCAGAUCAAAGUCCAAGGAAGAUCUGAUCUGAUCUGAUCUGAUCUGAUCUCAAAUCUAUUAGAUAAUGGAGUCUUGUUUUGUUUAUGACUUUUUCAAUGAGAAAAGUGUGGGUGGUUAAAUGUCGUGAUCAUAAUUAGCCGUAACCGUGUGUAAUUAAUGUGAAAAUUGGACUAAUGCCACAGAGAGAGUAUCUAGAGUUCUUAUUACUGACAAAGUAGAUACAAUACAAACUAGAGCUAAUAUUUAGAGACAAAAAGUUGCUGUCCUAAUCCAUUUGUUAUCCAAUCUGUAUAGUCAGUAGUUAGUAUAGUGAUCAAUGAAUUCAACUUCAAUUGACCUAACCAUGCUCAUGGAUAACUCUCCUUCUAUUACUGCUAAUUCUCUUUUCCUUUUCAAAGAUCUGCACAAAUGCAAAUUGUUACAUCUCUUUGACUUAAAUCCUUCAUUUUAUAUAUAUUCUAUCACAAGUGGAUCUUUUUGCUGAAAAUGAGAUAAAAAAACAAUACAAGUGCUUUUCCAUCAUUUUUGGGAUGUUCCUUUUAUGCUCUCCACUUGUUUAUGUUGCUCUCUCUUGCCUCUUCAGGAGCCCAACAGCAAUGUGCCCCUAUUUUUUUUCUUCCUUUUUUUUUUUUUUAUAAUUGGUCCUCAAGGAGCUUUUUCUCUCUUAAUUUUAUAGCAUAAUAUUAUAGAUAGUAUACUUUUUUGAUGAGUAUAGUGUACUAAUUUUUUGGAGGAGGGAUGUGGACAAAAGUGGUUGUUAUAGAUGCAUCUCCUUUGGACAGGGGCCAUGCUACACACUGAGAUGCCAUGCUUUUACUUUAUUGUUAGUGCUUCUACCAUAUAAAAUAUUGUGGGAAUGAAUGGAUGUAGCCACCUUGUAUUUAUUGCAUCAUGUGGCAUUUGCUAAGAGGUUAUUAAUACUUACCACCUUCCUCUUUUGGUACAAAAGGUUAAAAAGACAAAAUACAAAAAUUACUUAACAGUGAAAAAAAAAAAAUACUGUUAAAUUUUUAUUUUUAGUUUAGAGAUGCUAAUUAUUAAGUUCUUAGCAAACUAUGCUAGGUACGGUCAGUGAUACUAUUACUGUUAAGUUCUUAAUUGUGUAGUUUUGUGUCGAUUUUGAUUCAAUGCUCAUAGCCUAUUCCGCGAGCUUAUUUGGUUUACAGAAUUAGUGAAAAUAAACAUUUUUUUAUUUUUUUUUGAACACUUUACUUUUUAUUACCAAACAAAUAUGGUAAAUGGAUAAAUUGCAAAUAAUAUGAUAUCCACCGGGUUGUAACAUGCAUUUUAUUGUGGAAAUUUACUACAAAGUUUCUUUUUCAAGCUUAAAAAUUCAGUAUGUCAUCUGUUUCUUUUUUUGACUUAAAGCAGUGAUCCACUUUAUCUCGACACCACCUUUUUUGCUUUCUUCUGGACAAAGUAAUUCAAGGAAAAAGCAAAAAGAAGCUUUGCAAGUACAAAAGCAGAGCCCAUAGACAUGACCAACUUUUCAAGAGCUUAAGCCAAAUAUAUUAUACAUAUAUAUACACUCCAUAUAUAUAUAUAUAUGUAUAUAUAUAUAUAUAUAUAUAUGUAUAUAUAUAUAUAUAUAUAUAUAUAUGAGUCUGGCUACUAUACUAUUAAUAGCACGAAAUAUUUAGUGCUACCAAGUUUUCUGUCGUUAGAUCUAUCCUUUUGACCAUUUUCAUCCGUUAGAUCAUACUAUUAACCAACCACCCACUCAACCCUAAGGAGGCCACAUCAUCCUAACCACACAUCUCUUAAUCCAAUGGCCAAAAACUUGGUAGCACCAAUAACUUGGUGCUAUUAAUAGUAUAGUAGCCUAGUUAUAUAUAUAUAUAUAUAUAUAUAUAUAAAAGGGUGUAUAUAUAAAUAUAUGUAAAGAACAAGAAAUAUAAAAAGUAAACCUUUUCAUUUGUACUUUACAAAAAUAAUAUUAUUUUGUACACAUCUCUACAUAAUAUGAAGUUAAAGAUAACAUACUAUACAAUUUAUUUGUUCUAAUAAUCCUACUAGUGGUUGUUAUUUAUUUCGGUUGCGGACCUAAUAAGUUAGGGUUGAUCUCUUGCUAUUCGUGAGCAGAACUGUCAUUCAUUCCAUCUCUCUCUCUCUCUCUCUCUCUCUCUCUCUCUCUCUCUCUCUCUCUCUCUCUCUCUCUCUCUCUCUCUCUCUCUCUCUCUCUCUCUCUCUCGAACUAUGUCGCUAUGUCAGUAAAGCCUCACUCCAAAUACUUCUAUAUUCGUCAUAUUUAUUUUCCUACGAAAUUUGGCGCUAAGUCACACUCCAUUUCUAAAUGCAUAUGCAGAAAUCAAAUUGCGUAUACCAUCGAAUUGCGCUGGGCAGUUUUGUUCUUUAUUUCUCUCUGUUGAGCAAUCUUACUACAAUCAUUUUAUUAAGUCUAUUAGCUUAUUAUGCCUAUUGUGUCCAUCUUACUUUUCUUUAACCCUUAAUUUUUUUCGGAACCAAAAAAAAAAAAAAAAAUCUAAUACCUGUUGGAGUUUUUGGUGUGGGCCUACAGACAUGCUAAGAAAACAAAAUUAUUUUCUUCCCAAAAUGCCCUCAUAGACAGUGGCUUCUGAAUUAAAUGAUGCCUUUUUGGACCCACAACCACAUUUUUAUAAGCAAAAAAGUAUUGGCACAAUAUUUUGUACAGGAGUUAUUUGGAAGGGGUAAACACCUAACCCUAUCUAAAAAUAGAUGGAUAACUAUGUUUCCAACAAGAAAGCCUUGUGAAAGCACUAACAAUUAUUUGUUUUGUUAGGCCGCACUUCUGAUUUCAACAACAUUCAUUUUCAAUAAAAUAUUUGAUGUUAGAAAAAUUUAGUGCUUCUGUUGCAGUAAAAAUUAAACAGCAACAUAUUGACAUCCACAAACAUGCAUGUCCUGAGAUUCUAAAAUUGACAUCAAAACGAGACCUAUUUGUUUUUUUUUUUUGGAAAGAUAGGUAGCACGCUACCCGCUUCGUUUAUUUUAUUUAGAAAUAAACUUAGCUGAAAAUAUGAAUCAACUAGGAUUCGAACUUGGGUUUCGAAUACCAACUACCAAACCUUUUGCCACUUGCUCUAGAGACGGUCAGUAAAACGAGACCUAUUUGUUUUUUUUUUGUGAGAUAGGUAGUACGCUACCCGCUUCAUUUAUUUAAUUUAGAAAUAAACUUAGCUGAAAAUAUGAAUCAACUAGGAUUCUAACUUCGGUCUCGAAUACCAACUACCAAACUUUUUGCCACUUGCUCUAGAGACGGUUAGUAAAACGAGACCUGUUUGUUUUUUGUUUUUUUUUUUUUUUUUUUUUUUUUUUUUGGCCCCGGAUUCACACGUACACCAACUNCGCUUCAUUUAUUUCAUUUAGAAAUAAACUUAGCUGGAAAUGUGAAUCAACUAGGAUUCGAAUUUGGGUCUCGGGUACCAACCACCAAGACCUAUUUGUUGUUAGUAGCUUCUUAUGCUUUUAACCCAAAAGAUGUGGAUAUAUGCUUCUCUGGUUUCUAGUAGGACCAUAAAAGUUAGGGCAAAUUAUACUUUUGGUCCUCAAAUUAGGAGUCUGGCUACACUUUGGUUCUACACUUUUGACUCUCAAACUUGAAACUUUCAGAAUUAUUACAAUCAAAUCGUAUAAUUCAAUUUAGUUGGCUAAAUAUUAACAAUUUGUUAAUGUAGAAUUGUUGAAAAAGUAUUGCAAUUGAUGAUGCCACGUCACUUUGAUAUAUCAACGAUGCGCGAAUGUUUUACUCAACUGUAUUAUAUUGUGGAACUCGAAAUGUCACCCGCCCCAUAGUUUGAGUAUGAAACUAGCAAUUUAAUGUAAAUAUUAUAUCUUAUAAUCGAAUUGAUGUGAUUUACGCGACGUGUUAUUCUUAUUCUUAUUAAACUUUCUCACUGUACGCAAUGCAUACUCUCCGAAUUAAUCCGAAAAUAGAAGCAUAGCUAGUUUUGUGGAAUCUUUGUAGCCCCUAAAAAUUAUUCCGAGUGAUCCUACACAUGUGAUCGUCCUUUUACCUAAUUAAGUGCGUACUACACACAGGAAGGAGCACAUGGCGAGGGAAUAAUCAUAGUCAUAUCCGUUUAUAAAUAAGUAGUGGGCACGAGGAGUUCAUAGGGAUAAGGAUUAAUUUCAUACAGGUCCUUAUAAAUAUAAUAAAUAAUAAAUAUAUCUCUAAAAAAUUUAGUUGUUAUAUAUUGUUCUUACAAAAGUCCAGAUAUUUUCAAAUAUAUUCAUGUUCUUAGAAUCCUUUAGAAAAAUUUAGUUAGCCAUAGAUUAAAUAUUUAACCCUGGUUAGAUUUUGAUAUUUUUAACUUUUUUAUAUUAAACUGUUAUGACUUUUGGAGGGAUAUAUUUGUGAUGACAAAGUAAAAAAAAAAAUAAACAGUUUUCUAACGGUUCUUUGACGAUAACAAAUCAGAGGGACAUAUUUGAAAAUAUCAGAACUUUUGCAGGAACAAAAUAUAAAAGUUGCACUUUCUAAAGAUAUAUUUGUCAUUUACUAUAUUCGCAAGGACAUUUAUGAAAUUAACCCUAGGAAUAAGGAGGGGCUCUUCGGAAUAGUAAGGUAAAAAAAAAAACAUAUAGAAUUUAUCUGAAUUAUGAAUUAUUGCAGGUCUAAACCACCUUAAAGAGGAAGAAGUAUAAGAAUGGAAGAGAGAUAUAUAAAAUAUACAAUUUUUUGACAAAUACAAAAAUAUUAUUAAUCAAAUCUAAAAAUUAAUUAUAUUAACUGAAUGUUACGUAUAUAUGGAGUCGAUAUCUGAAGCCUAUUAUAAUUGAAGAUAAUAAAUUCUGAUAUACCUACAAACCUAAAUAUAUCAAAAAUAACCAAAAUGCCAAAACAGAGGUCUAAACAGUUGAAUUUAGGCCUCAAAUUCUGCCGGAAUGGCUUUGUCAUUCUUUGUGUAGAUUUCGAAAAUAUUUUCUGAAUUAUAAUUGUUUGCUGGAAAGAGACACUAUAGUGAAAAGUUAUGACCGUUUAAAAAUUUUCCACGCCGGUUGUAAAAAUUGCUGAACCCAAUGAAAUUUUCGACCCAGCUUGAUUGCGUCACAUUUUUUAAGAAACUCUAAUGUUAAAUUAGCUGUAUCAACUAUCUAACAUUUCAAUUUAUUUGAUUUGAGUCAGUCAACUAUAUAAUUAAGAUAAUUAUUUAUUUUAAAUAAAUUUAUAAUUGCGAAAAGUUGCAUACUAAUUAAAUCUGUACAGAUAAACAACACAUUUAAAAUUUGAAAGCAACUUAUCUGAACUAUGGACAAUUUUAAAUCAGCUACCUAAUAUUUCAAAAGUUUAAUUUUACUAUCCAAUCAUUCAAUUUAUUGGAUUUGAGUUAGUCAACAAUAUUUUGACUGAAAAUAUUGAAGAUAAUUGCUUACUUUAAUAAAUUUAUAUAAACAAAAAUUAUAUAAAAUAUAUUAAUUAAAUCUGUAAAAACAAACGACAAAUUCAAAAUUUGAAGUUGAAGUAUCAUUGUGUGGUAUCCCUGGAGUACAGCAGGUGAGACUUGUCAACACGUCGGGAGAGUGUCGGGACAAGUCCAAGUCGCGUUGGCGCGAAAUGGACGCCGAACGGACUCAGUGGAGACGCGAGGGCAUGAGUUAGCACUGGAAUCUACAAAAUACAAAUUUUCUGCUUGCUGUACCGGUACAACCAUCAAGGCGUACCGGUACAUCUUGCUAUACAGGUACAACAUCAGAGGUGUACCGGUACACAGCGCAUGUCCCUGCGCAGACUGCUCUCGGGUUGCCAUUUGUACCAGUACAAAUGCCCGUGUACCGGUACACCAGGAUAGGUAAGGGGCUUUUUAGUAAUUCUCUUACCUUGAUUGUAUCACCAUCCCUUCUCCCUCGCUAUAUAGGAUAGAGAGAUCAGAGAGGAGAGGAUUAGUGUGCUCUCUCUCUUCCCCUUAUGCUUGACCAUGCGUGGUGGAGGAGCUCGGGUGCAGUUCGGGUGUUGUCGACGUCGCGCCGCGGUGCCGUUCGAGCGUGUCUUCGUCAUCGUAGCGCUGCGGGGAGGCCGGGCGAGGGUGCGUUUCCGCCGUUCUCGACAUCGUGUAGGAUUGGGAGUAGCUUUUAAGGUAGGUUAAUCGUCGGUUUGUCUUCUAAGAAUAUAGAGAUAGUCGGCAUGUGUCGUUGUAGUUGUUUUUGCAUAUCCUACUUGCUCGAUUCAUGAAUUUGGUGUUUCUUUUAUAAAAAUCUGAAUUGGAGCCUAGUGUUACUAAAUCUACUUGCACAUGUUGGACUUGAAUAUGACUUAGGAGAAAACCUGCGAUUGAACCUGUCACAUACUUAAACUAUCGGAUUUAGCUCUAGGAGCCGUUGUUAUUUUGUAUCGCCGCAGUAUCGGCGUGGUGGAUACUCCAGGUAGUUUAGAUUUCAGUUAUGAUCGUACUGGGAUGCUGAGUGUAUUUUUACAGUAGCUUUCAGACUGUUCCGGACUAUUGGGGGCCGUCGGGGUUGACGGUGGACCUAUAUUGCCGUUUUGGCGUCAGAAUGUGCCGAGGGCACAUGACCUGUUGGUUGUUAGACCAGUUGGACCUGAUUUACUUGACUUUGGCUUGUGAGAACCUGAUUGAGCUCGACAGAGAUACGCUGCAUACUCGGUUGGGUAGCUCCCACGAGUGCCACUCCGGAGAUGGGCGUUGUGUUUUUGCGUUGGUGUCGUUCGUGCAGGUUGGAUUUGCUUUCCACGGACCGCUUAGUGUGGAGGUAGCUGUAUAGUCGCAACCGGGCGGAAUGGGUGUGUUCACAGUCCCAGGGAUGGGUAUGCUUACAGUUUCUAGUGAGAUUGGGUCAGCAUUGACUUUUAUUACAAUUAAUUAGUGUAGAGCAGGAUAGUGUAGCGGCAUUUAGCUGUAAAUUUUUUCCAGCUUUUCCUACUAUCUUUGCUUUCUUCUGUAGACUUGGUGGGUGGACCGACGAUGUUGAGGGCGGUACCCACUGAGAACUACUUGUUUUUACAGUAGUUUUCACGCCCAGUUUUUACCCUAUUUUUGCAGAGCCUGCUGUUCCGGCUGCUGCUUUCUCGGAGACUGAUCGUGGCAAAGGCGUUGCCAGUUAGAGCCCUUCCCAGUUGCUGCUGUUCGAGUGGUUACCAACUGCAGGUAGUGCUAGUUUUUGAGUUUCUUAUUUAUACUUGUUGUAUCUCGUUGGGCGAGCUUUUUUGUAUACCUGGAUGUAUGUAUGUAUAUGGAACUUGUUCCUGUUUAUACCAGUUUUAUUCGAGCAGCUCUAUACUACUGGUUGUAAUAUUGUAUGUGUUACAGGUACACCUACUCUUCGUAUACAGGAAAAAAAUUUUUGUGUACGGCGGAUUUAUCGGCGUGCCUGAAAAACGUGUAAUCCGGGGCGUGACCUAUUGACUGACUUAAAUUAUACAAAUUGAGAGGUAGAGUAGUAAAAUCAAAAUUUUGAACGGUUGGGCAGUCUGACUCAAAAUGACAGUUCAAGUAAAUUCUGUACAUUCUUACUAAUAUCUUAUUCGAUAUAUCUUUUGGAUUUACUUAAAAAACUUGUACAUUUAGUAGGAGAAGUAUACAAUCAAAUACCAUGUGUUAUGAACACUUUUAUAAGUUUCGCGUGUCCGUAUUGGAAUUGGACUCGUAUCCGACAUGAACACAACAUAGACGUGCGUUUUGACGCAGGUCUAUAGCGCAUCCCAUUAAAAAAUAAUAUAUAUUUUUUUAUUUUAUGUUUUCUUAUGUAUAUAUAAUAUAAAAUAAAAUAUUUUAUCUUUUUAAUGAAUAUAUACAAAUUUUUUUGACGGUACAAAUAAAUUAUGUAUAGUGAAAUUUUUUUUUUUAGAAUAUAUGAACUAUCAAUAAAAAUUUUAUUAACUUUCAUUUAUACGGAAAAUAUAAUAACAUUUUAAUAAAAUUAAUAUUUUAUAUAUAAUAAAUAGAAUUGAGCUAUAAUACUAUUAAUAGUAUUUGAGCUCUUUUGCUAUCAAGUUUUAAACCUUUGAAUAAAAAAUUAUAGGGUUAGGAUGAUACUAGUCCCUCAUCAGGGUUUAGUGGUGGUCCUCCUAGGGUUGAGUGGAUGGCUGGUUGAAUAGUAUGAUUUAAAAGUUAGAAUUGAUUAAAUUAAGUGCAGAUCUAAUAGCUAAUUAAAAAAUUGAUAGUAAAAACUCAAAUACUACUAAUUGUAUUCCAACUCAACUCAUAAUAAAUUUAUAUUAUUGUAUUGAUAAAACUAUAUAUUAUUAGUGGUGUCUAUGUUGUGUCAGUGUCAUGUCAGUGUCCUAAUUUUUUUGGAGGCUGUUGAGUUGCCAUUUUCAGAGUCAUGUCUGUGGCCCGUGUUUCUGUUCGUAACGCCUACAUCAAAUGCAAUUUUAUUGCUUUACUAAAAAAAUAAGAAAAUAUUUUUUUGUCUCUAAAUUUUCUUUUCUUUUCUUUUCUCUUUCUCUUCAUCAAAACGAAAUGUAGAAGUCAAAAAUUUAGCUAUGAACUAAUGCAAGCUACUUCACCUUAUGUCAUAUAAAAUUAUACGUGUGAACACGUGUGAUGUUGAAUAUGCGAAGUAUUUAUCAUGAAAACUUUAUUUGUGUAACUUUAUAAAAAAUGUAUCUGAAGUCAUAUAAUUUGAUUAAAUAAUUACUUAUAUGCCUUCAAAACUUCUCAAAUAUUUUAUACAUACACAUUUUUUUCAAAUAUAUACCUUAUAUAUUUUUUCAUUAUUCAAAAAUAACUCCGCUAUUAGUACUUAUUAAGACAUAGUUUGAUAUUGAGUUCUAUCUAACGCUAUUAAAUAAAAUGGAAUUAAAAAAAAACAUACAUAUAGGGAUAUACUUCUGCGUUCUCCGGUGGGACCGCAGAAAAUAUAUCGUAACCAACUCAUCGCAAUAUGCGGAACACAAUAUUACGUACGAAAACAAACAGGGUAUUUUUCCAAUGUACUUUCUCACCGCACGUAACAUGAUCCUAAACGAAGCCUAAGUCAUCUUUGAUCAAACUCAGAUUAAAUUUUCAUCAAAAUUAAAAAAAUUUAAAACACCUAUUUUGCCCCUAAUUUAAGAACAAAUAAAAAAAACUGAUAGCAACAGAAGAGAUAUAUAUGAAAACAUAAAAAGUCAAAAUACUUUUUUGUUCCUAACUUAAGACCAAAUAAAAAAAUUUGGUGACGAUAGAAGAGUAUGUUUGAAGGAAAAAAAAAAUAGUAAUAUCACAGAGAUAACGAUAGUUUUUAAUAAUUCACUAAUAGAAUUUAACUCUGUGAGUAUAUAUGAAAUAAUUUAGAAUGUUAAAAAAAUAUUUUAAUAUUAACCUUCUAACAAGAUAAAGAGAAAAGUUAGGAACUUUUGAGGGACAUAUAAGUAAUUGCACUUUUGGUUUACUUGAUUUAUUAUACUACAACCUCUCUCUCUCUCUCUCUCUCUCUCUCUCUCUAUAUAUAUAUAUAUAUAUAUAUAUAUAAAAUAGAGUGAGGCUACUAUGCUUCUGGUAGCAUAGAGCCUUCCUACUUUCAUAUCGUUUUUCAUGUUGCGACUUUCGAAUCGUCGAUCGGCUCCGUUGAACUUGAUCUAGAGUGUUUAAAGUAUCUAGAAAAUAAAUUUUGUAAUUUUUCGAUAUUAUUUGUCUAGUGAACUAAGGGGCUCAAAAUCAACAGCUGAAAAUAAAAAUCUUACAAAACGUGAUAAUAUGACAUUAAAAUUUUAGAUCAAAGAUAUUUAUCUUGUUUUAUAUAGUAUAAAGAAUUUUCUAUCAAAAUUUCACGUGAUUUGGAUAUUUCUACACCGUUAAACUUGCAAACGGCUCACCACGGCCUUUAAAAUUAUUAAUUUUGAACCCCUUCGAUCACUAGGCAAAUGAUAUCGAAAAAUCAUAAAAUUUAUUUUCCAAGUACUUCAAAUACUUUAGAUUAAGUUUAACGGAUCCGAUCGACGAUUUGAAAGUCACAACAUCGAAAACGAUCUGGAAGCACGGAAGGUUCUGUGCUUCUAGAAGCAUAGUAGCUUCACUCUAUAUAACAUGCAUUAAAGGGGUCAAACAUUAAUUGUAUACAGACGAUGUUACAUAAUUUGUAAAAUGUAUUUCUAUGUAUAUAUGUCUACGUGCACUUAUUGAUUCAAACACGAGAGUGAUCGAUCAAUAAUAAGUGUCAUGCAUUCAAAGUCAAAAUUGGUGUCGUAAUUACUUUUGAGCAUUUACUUCAAAAAAAAAACAAAAAAGUCAUGCUGAACAUGUCUUUCUCAACUUUUAUGUGUGUAAAUAAUUAUAUAUAUACACAAAAACAAACCAAAAGAUUAGAUUCGUGAUUAACUAAAACACUUCUUAUAUUAAGCUACGCGAUCACGCUUAAUUAGAAAUAUUAAUUCAAAGAUCAUGUGCUAGCUCAAGGGAAAAAACCAAUAGAAGUUUAGUAAUAGCUUAAUUACGCCGUGCGGCCGUUAUAGCUAAUUAUGUUUAAUUUAGUGGCCUAUAAAUGGAGUGUUUUUAGAAGCAUGGUGUUCUCCGUUCUAAUGGGGCAUCUGAAUCGACCAUUCAUAUGCUCGAUCCAUUAGCAAAAAAUAAUACAAAAGUAAAUAACUUCGCUAACGUUUGAGAGUAACUCUAACCUAUCUCUUAAUUCAUUGGAUACAUUAAAUUUGGUGAAGAUGUGUCUCCCAAAAAAUUAAUUAAAGCACUAAUAGGCUUAUUAGCUAAUUAAGUAGGAUUCAACAUGAAGUUAUUAAAGUGCUAGCUAGGGUUUGAUUGGUUUAGUAGGAGAACCUUCAAAAGAUGCAUUAACAAUAUUCUAUUAGAAUCGUAUCUUAAGUAGUAGAUUUUUUUUAUUAAAUUGUGGUGUUUACAAUUAAAUCUUAUGCUUUUAGUAAAGUUAAAUGUCAUUGUGCUCCAAUACCUCUAAACUUAUUACUAUUCACUUACUUUUAUCUUUUAUAGUGUGGUUAGGUCGAAUAAUAAUAGAUCCAAGUGUAAAAAAUUAAAAGUAUGUGAAUAGUAAUACUUUUACAUGUAUUCGAGCUCAGCACAAGUUAAAUGCUAGCUUAUUUUAUUAUUCUAUUAUUAUUAAAGUGUCGGAUUUUUUUAUAUAUAUAAUUUCGAGUGCCUGUGUUUUAGUUGUUAAAGUUGCUUUUCUUGUCUUUGUCCUUUUAAGUCAAUUUUUUGGAUAAAUAGGAUUAGAGCUAAUUUUUACGACGUUUAUUCUGUAAUAGGUUAUGAGUAUAAUCCUCAUCUUUAAUAUUUAACAAGUAAAAUUUUUAUAUUAUAUUAAAUGAGUUAAAUCUCUAUUUUUUAUGUUAUCUAUCGAAAUCACGUGUCUUUCAUAUUAUGCUAGUGAGCGGAGGUAUAAAAUAUAUAUUUUUGGACUCAUUGACAGCUAACUUUAUAAAUAGUAAUUAUGUGUCGCAUUAUAUAAUCUUUUUAUCUUUUUAAUAAAUUACGCAGAAAAUCACCCUUCUUCUUGUAGGCCAAAAAAGAGAAAAGGAAAAGAAAAGGAGAGGUUGGCUAAAAAGGUGGAGAAAGGUUCAAAGCUAAGAUUAAUGAUAAAAUAAUAAACUUAGCUUUGUUCCAAUGAGGUGGAAAACCAUGAAAAAAAACAAAAGCAAGUUAAAUAUUUGAUCUCACACUCUCUAAUGGGUUUAGGUUUGCAGAUAAAAAAAAUCUAUAAAACAGAAAAAAAAAAAAAAAAAAAAAAAAAAAACUUUCUAGUUAAAAUUUGUUAAAAAAAUUUAAAAAAAUUGAAGAAUAAAAAAAAUUUUUUUUUUUGCCAGAAAACUAUUUUCUAAAACUCUCUCUGCGAAUCCAACACAAUGAGGAGGAUAAAGUGGGAGAAUUAUUUGAUGGUAACACCCUUAACCUUUCUCAACAUAUUUCAAACCUACCAUUCUUUUGGUUUCCCAUUUCCCUUAUCUUCAAGAAAAGUGAAAAAGGAGGCCACACUUUGGAUUCAUUAAAAAAAAAUAAAUAAGUAAAAAAGGAAAAAGUGGGCCUAAAAGAGACUCUCAAAAGUCAGUGUAUCAACAUUGGGAAUUCCAAGAUUUGCCAAUUAAUUAAUCAAUCAAUCAAUCAAUUAAUCAAUUAAUUAAUUAAUCCCCCUUGAUUAAAUGGGGGUUUGUGUGGGGGUGUGAUGAACCCUAUAAAGGGCAAAAGUGAGGAAGGGAUUACUUUUCACACAAGUCCCUACCUUUUAAAACCGUUGCAAAAGAGCCACUAACUUAGCACCAGAAAUUAAUGUUUCAGAAACAUACACGUUCUUUCAUUCUAAUUCUGUAUGCGUAUCAAAAUUAAAGAACAAAUCACACUAAGUAAUUAAUUAAAAACAAAAAAUUAUACUUUUUUAAAGAAAAAAUUAGAACUCAGAAAGAGACUUGUGUGUCUAAACCGGCGGAAAAGUUAGGAGCACUUUUAAAGAUAUCUUAAAAUUGAGGGAGUUGUAAUAAAAAUUACCAUAAAUAAGGAGUACCAUGAUGAUGGUUCUAAUUAUAUUUUAAUGCAAGGGCAUCAUUCCAAAAGAUUACUUUUGAUUGAGCCACAAAAGGCAGCAACAUGCCUGCAAAUUUGCCAUUUCCAACCUAACCUACUCCUACUUCCCCUCAACCAAAGAUUUUAUUAUAAUAAUUGCUAUAAUUGUAGCAUAUAAUAUAUAUAUAUAUAUAUCCUUUUCUUUAAUAAUAAUAUAUAUAAGUGAAAAGAAAAAGGAAAGAUUCCCCUUUUAGAUAGUUAUUGUAUGUUGAAAAGACACCAAUAGAUUAGUAGCAGUAGUAGUAGUAGUGUGUGGGGAGUGCUUUUUAAUUGUUUUUUUGUUGGAGGAUUCCUUCAUAAAUGAAGUCCCAUAAUGUGUUGACACUUUUAUUAAAGUAGGCCAAAUAAGAAUAAUAGCAUUUGUUAGAUAACUUGUGUAGACAACAAGAGAGAGUUUGCGUUGGGGGGGUGGGGGAAGGCCAAAGCCAAUUAACCAACUUUUUCUUGUGGGAUAUGUAAUCUACAAAUUUGUAAAAAAUAUUUACAGAUGAAACACAUCUUAAAUAUUAAUUUGACUUACGUAUUACAGAUAUUUCUAUAAGACUCGCCGUAUUUAUGUUGCACAUGCCAUGAAUGCGCAUCCGUUGCAGGUCUAUAGCAUAUUUCAUUAAAAAAUAUACAUUCUUUUAUUUUACUACUUUUAUGCAUGUACGAAGAUAAAUAUAUUUGACUUUUUGAAAAACACAUACAAAUUUUUUUUUGAAUAAUAUAAAUUAAUUAUAUAUGAUGGAGGAUUUUUAAUAUUUUAGCAAAAUUAACAUUUUACAUUAUUAAUAAACAUAUAUUUUUAUAUUAAUAUUAUACUUUAGUAAUUGUGUUCAUGUCGUGUCCGUAUUAUAAUUUUUUACAAGUUAUCGAGUCGUCGUGUCUUAGUCAUGUCACAUUCCGUGUCCUUGCGUUUUAUAUAAGAGUAUUUAUUUUGUAACACAGAGGAGUUUUCUAUACACUGAAUCUACAGAGAGUUUGUAUUUCGAUCGCAUGCUGAUUUUCUUUUGGAUUGCUUUUCCAAAUAGAAUUGCUAACUUUGAGUGCAACAUAUUUGCUGAUGUGUUGCAAAAAAGAAUCAAGCAUCAUAUGAUGCAUUUAAAACAUGCCAAAAAUGAAAAAAAAAAAAGGUCAUUAUUUACAGUAUAGAUUAAAAAGGUGUCAACAUAGAUAAUAAAUUUAUAGGCAAAAAUAUUUACAUAGGACUAGCUCUGCUACUAUAUUAUUCAAAAGAAUAAUUUGACAAAAUAUAAUUUAAAAUUAAUCUUAACACUACCUAUGUUGAUUUCACCUUCAGGUAAAUAAAAAUAAAAGAAAAUUCUCUCUCCUCUCAAAAAGUAGUAAAAGAUUAUCGCUAAAAAUCUGAACUAAAAUCGAAACCAAAUAAUUUUAAAAAUCACAAUCAAAUCGAAACCGUCAAAAAAUUUUAAAUCCUCACAAUUCAUUCAUUAUUUGAUAAGUUCUACCGGAAAAUUAAGACUAAUUGAUUGAACACCUUAUAAUUGAAUCCGUUCCAUCCGAUUUCAAUUAAAAUCGUCAUGUCCUUUAACUAUUAAACACGCAACAUAAAAACACCAUUUUUUUUUUAGAAAAAAAGUUGUUUAAGUUUUUUGAAGUGAUUGACCGUUUUACUUAAUAUUAAAUCAGAAGAUCCUAAAUUUGAAUCGAGCAAACGUUCCCACGUCGUGUUAUAUAAAACUUAGCCAACAUAUCUAAAACACACAAGUAAAUAUAUAUUUAUUUAUUUAUAUAUUUUCUUUUCUACCUGAGAAAAGUAAAAUCCAUUGUCUCACCUAACUACUUUCAUAUUGCCUAACUUAAUUGGUUUAUAAUAAUAAUAAUAAUAAUAAUAAUAAUUUGAUGUGAUGUGGACAUCACAUAGAAAACUCUCCUGUCUAUGUCAAUUUCUAAUCUAAUGUAGUGGUAUUUUUUGGACUUAACUAAAAUUACAUCACUCUAUCAAUUAUAUUAUGUUUGGAUAAUUAUUAUUUUAAUCAUAUGUGAAAGGAUAAUCCUUCUAAUUAAUCUUACCAAUUUUAUCCAGCCAACAAUGUAUAAAGAUCCGCAAACUUUAGCAAUUUUACAAACAGAUCAGUACCGAAUUAUUAUAUUUUAGUGAUUAGAUUGGACCCUUCUGAACUUCAUCACAUAAAUCAAUAAAUCUUUCUCCUCGAGCGAGAUUACUGGUUUUACCGUUGUUUUGAUUGCAUAUCUUAUAUAUAAUUUUAUAUUUCUUCAAAAAAAAAAAAAAAUCUAUUUUUUCCUUUCCUAGUUAUGAUGAUAAUUAAUUACUAGUUUCUAGUAGACAUUUUACAGUACUUUUUAUUUUUUUUUAGCCCUUCUAUAAUUUAGAGUAAAAAUGAGAAAGUUUUCAAUUAGCCUUUUUAUUAUUUAGGGUGUGCUUGAUUUGAUGUAAAAGUGGGUGAGAAAAAAUAAUAAGUGGAAAAACGGUUUGCGGCUCGUUUGUUUCGACCUAAAAAAAUUUUACGCGAAAAAUAGUUUUACGUAGUUGGGGGAAAAUUUUCUCUUUCGUUUUCUGCGCGAGAACGGCGGAAAAUGAAAACGCGGCUCAUGGCGUUUUCACGUAGUCCUCUCAUGUACUGCAUAAGAAGGAGGUCCAUUCAUUUUAUAUAUAUAAUUUUAUUUAUAAUUUUAUCUAUAAAUAUUUAUUUAUUUAUUAUAUAUAUAGUAUUUUAUUUUUAUAUAGAAAUAUUAUUAUAUAAUAUUUUAUUUAUAAAUUUAUAAUUAUUUAUUAAUAUUCCUAAAUAUAUAACUCUGGUAUAUUAUGUAAUAUAUUUAUUAUAAUUUUAAAUAUAUUUAAUCUAUAUAUAAAAAUUAUAAGAAUAAUAUAUAUAACAUAUUAAUUAUUAUAUAUUAAUAAUAUAAAUAAUAAAAAAUAUAUUAAAUAAUUUGUCAUCUAUUUUUUUUUUCUACAAACCAAACACUAAACAACGUAAAAUCGUUUUUCCACCGAAAAUUUUUUCCCACUGAAAUUUUUACGUGGAACCAAACACUCCCUUAACGCAUCUUCACUAUACAUAUCAUCUUAUGAUUUGACCAGUAUCAUUUUACUAUUUUAGGAUUUUACUUUAUUUUUUAUUGUAAAAAUCUAUAUAAUAGUAAAAUAAUAAAACACAAAAAUCAAAUGAUAAUAGAUUAAUGAAAAUCAUAGGCUACAAGCAUAUUGCAUUUUACCAUGAUAUAUGUAGUUGUUGUAUCAUUUUGCCACAUAUAUAUUUAACGACAGGUCAUUAAGGUAUAAAAUGAAAAGUAUUAGAAAAUAAUAAUUCAACACUUUUACAAACUACAAGGAUGGCAAAAUAAAAUUACGCUAAACACAAUAGCGUAAUUAAAUUAUUUUCAAAUGAGAAAAAAUAAUCACAUCCUAAUUAAGGUGAUGCAACGGAAAAGGCAAAUAAGAUGGUUUUUUUUUUUUUUGCAUUUAGCCUCUUAAUUUUUUUUUUCAUAAGUAGCUCUAUCAAAUUUAUAAUUACAAUUUUGGUUUUAUUUCCACAAGCUGGCUGGGGAGGGGCGUUAAGUUGAAUACGGUGAAUCAUUCACCGUGUUCAAAUACGAUGAUGGUUCAUCGUGUUCUAUACUUAUAUUCUUUUUUUUAAUAUUUAUAUUUUUUUCGCAAUACAUAUAUUUUUCUUAGAUACGAUGAAUCAUUUACCGUGUUUAGACACAGUAAAUGAAUUACCGUAUUCAAUUUAUUUACUCGCAUGACGCUUACGUGGCGCCUGCAUGAUGGGAAUAGGGCUAUAAUUACAAUUAUAAAUUUGAUGAGAUUAUUUAUGAAAAUAAUUUUUUUGAGGGGGCCAAAUUCAAAAAAAAAUCCUUUUUUUUCUUUUUCCUAUGUUAACUUUUGGUGCACCAACAAGGAAAUUAAUAAGUGUAUUAAUUAUUUCGAAAGGAGAAAAGUGUGUAUUAAUUUAGUGGUCCAAACCCAUAGAUUGUUACACACUCCACUAAUUAAAAAAAUAAUGUGAAAUUAAUAAAAAACAAAAAAAAAAAGAAAGGUGGGGAAAAGAGUAGUAGUAGGCGAGACCAACGUGUAAAGUAACGAAAAAAAAAGAAAAAAAAGUGCGAAUGUUAAAGCAAGAGGCCACUUUUUUCACACUUUUUUAAAGUGCUUCCUAAAAACAAACUUAUGAAACUCCCUUGCCACUGAACCGGGAACAAGUAAGGACCAUUUUGAGAAAACAAAAACAAAAAAAAAAGCGCAUUUAUUUCCCAACAUUUAGUGGUUUUCUCACUUUGGUCCUUAACCUUUGUAUUUUAUUUCAAUUAGGUCCUAACCCUAAAAAAAAAACAAUUUUGAGGGAUUUGGAGUUUGAAAUUACAAGAGUUUUUUUUUUUUAUCUUCAACUUAAGUUUAAGCUUUUGAGCAGGUUUAGGACACAUUAAAAUGGUAUAUAUCAGAGCUUAUUCUUAUCUUUUUCAAUUAUAUCUAGCCUAAAUUGUUGUAAUUUUGCUAUAUUUUGUGAAACAAUCACUGUACUUUAAAAGUUUAAACUGUUAGAGAACGAUAUUUAUAUAUUUUUAUAUUUAACACUCUCCCCCACGUCUGAACACAAGAUUUUUUUACAAGGCCCAUGACAUGGACUUGACUUAAAUGGGAAUGUUAGGAGUCUGGCAUGAUUAAUUUGAACUCAGGACCUCCUUCUCUGAUACUAUAUGAAAUAACCGAUGUACUCUAAAAGUUGAUAUCAUGUAAAACAACUGCUGUACUCUAAAAAUUUAAGUUGUUAAAGAACGAUAUUUAUAUAUUUCUAUAUUUAACAUAUUUUAGUCCAAUUUCGAUUAUAUACGGCCUCAAACCCAAUUUAGUUGACUGAAUAUUAACGCGUCACGGGUAUAAAUGUGAGACCCCAGAUAGUCCUAUAUAUGAGAUAUAAUAGGGCUAAACUCUUAACCCGGCUUAAGCAUUUUGGGUGGUGGCAAGGCUCAAGAGGUUAAGAGAGUUAAGCGUGCUAGAACGGAAGAAAUUGUAUUGAGUUGGGGCGUCACAAUAAAAGUGAUAUUACAUCUCUUAAUUAUUGUCCCAUAAUCAAUCACAAUAUUUGCUAUAUUACUUUCACAUUAGCGACGUAUUAAUAUUUAGUCAACUAAAUUAGUUGAAAGACUUGAGUAUAAUACUUCUGAAAGUUCAAAUUAGAAAGCAGAAUAAAUUAGAAUUUGAAGACUAAAAUAUCAUAAUCUUAUAAUUUGAGGACCAAACGUGCAAUUUAGCUCCGUAAUUUCAACUUUUUAGAUUGUCGCAAUCAAAUUAAUUUCACUGUCUAAUUAAUUUCGCAAAAUAGUGAUGUGUUGUAAAUAUUGUAAUGAUGCGACAGCGUUAGAGUUGAUAACUUGAGGAUAACUAAGACGUCAUAAAUUAUAGGGGCAAUUUCAUGGAUACCCCUCCCAAAAUUUAAAAUAUCAUAGAUGCCCCUAUAAAGUUUAAAAUAUCACCAAUACCCCUAUAAACACAAAAAAUUAUCAUUAAUACCCCUACUGUUAGUUAGGUUAGUUUUACUAUAGUUAUUACAUAGUUAAAGAUGGGUUAAUUUUUAAAAUGACUUAUUUACCCUCAAAUAUCUUUUAACUAAAAAUGUAUGGAAACCCCCUCAACUAUAUGCAUUUUGAAACAGCUCCCUCAACUUUCAUUUUUUAGUUGAUAUCCCAUUAACUUUUUAUUUAAAAAAAAAACCUAAUUUCAGUGUAUAAAAAAAAAAAAAUUUUUUAGUUUUUUUUGAUGAUUUUACCAAAUCUAAUGGCUCUAUUUAUUUUUUAUCAAAUAAAUAACUAUAUAUAAAAAUUUAAAUGAAAAUAAUGUUAAGGAAUUAUCCGAUCUUUCUUUAAUCUUGAAAACUUAAAAAUUUUUUUAAUCAAAAUUAUUCUCGAUAAUUUUAUCUGCAUUAAGUGUAUUAAAAAACUGAAAUAUAAUAUAUUUUAGCUUUUGAACAAAACUCUCUUUUUAUUUCAAUCGACAAAACAAUUAUGUGAUUUAUUUUUAAAUAGGAAAAAAAUAAAAUCUAUAAUUUAUUUCAAAAUUACUAUUACUAAUUAGGAAUGUGAAUUGAUAUAGAUACGGAAUUUUAUCUAAACUCGAUUUAAAAUGGGAUAAGUUUAAUCAAUGCUGAAUAGGGAUAGUUUUAGUUAUAGGUACCAAAAAAUAAAAUCCCGUCGUAUGUAAAUUCAGUUAUAGUUUUGGUCUAUAUUUAAACCGAAUCUGAACCGAAACCCAAAACCAAAAACAAAACCAAAAUCAGAUAAAAACAUACUAUAUUUAAAAUACAAUUUUUAUAUAUUUUUUAUUAAUUAAUAUAUAUUAAUAAUUUAAUUUACUAUUUAUAUAUUAAAUACUCAAAUUUAGAUUUACAAAAAUUAUUUUGAAAUACCUAUUAGUAUUUCUACUAUUAAAAAGAGAUGAAGGGUAAAAAUGGUAUUUUAAAAAUUUAACUCCGAUUCAAAUGGGUUUUAAUGGAUCUUAACUAGAGGAGGGUAUUUAUGAUAAUUUUUCACAUUUUGGAUGGCAUUUGUGAUAUUAUUAAUUUUGGAAGAGUAUUGAUGAAAUUAAUAGUUUCUAGAGGGGCAUCUAUGAAAUUAUUCCUAAAUUAUAAAUCUUAAAUUACAUUUUAGAAAAAAAAACUUUUUUUUAAUAAAUGUAAAAUGAUUCUAUAAAGGUAAAAAUUUAAUGAUCCACUAACAUGAGUCAACCUGUAUGAAUAACUUCAUAAAUUUUAUAUCUUUUUCGAGAAGGUAUAUUUGAUAACUAAAAUUUUGUAGGAAUAAAUUUGUAAUUUCAAAACAUUAUAAUAAUAUAUAUAAAAAUAUUCCUAAAUUUUAAAUGCUAGAUAGAGCCAAUUUAAUAGUGUACUAAAAUAUUAUAUAGAAAUGCUUCAAUACAGUAGUGAACUAUUAAAUAGUAAGAAAAACUUCAAAUACCAUCUCUGUGAUUUCACAUUUUUUUAUUUUAGUAUCUUGUGGUUUAAAGUGUAUUAUUUUAGUACUCCAUGGUUUCAUUUUUCUCUUUUUAUUAUCCUCCUUCCUAUUUUUUUUUUCGUUAAAUUAGUAAAAAAGAUAAAACUAAAAUAUAUUAAAGUGAAUAUUCGAUAAACCUAGGAGAGGUAUCGGAAAUUUUUUAUAUAUAAUUUAACGAAAUGUUAACGAAGGAGCUGACCAAAAGAGAAAAAUAAAACCACAGGGUAGUAAAUUGAUACACUUUAAAAUAUGAAAAAUUAAAGUGAGAAAGUGUGAAACUAUAAGGGUGAUAUUUGAAGUUUACCCUAAAUAGCAAUAUGCUUGCUCUCAUAUUGCGCAUCGUAAAUAUCCCACUGGAUUAAAAAUUACACCAAUUAUCAUUCUAUAUUUCACCAAUAUUUCAAAUAGAUCCAAAAAUUAAAUUAUAAAAUUUUAUUAAAACGGGUUGGCAUGUCGCAUUGUUCUACAUCUGAUCAAUAUCUAUUUAAUUGACAACUUAAAAAAUAAAUAAAAAAAUUAUAAAAAUGAGAUCUCUUAUUCACUAUCAAAUUUAAUAGUUUACUGAAUAAAUUUAUUCAAUUUAUAUAAUUCUAUUAUAUUAAGCAACUUCAUUUGCAAACUAAUUUUUAUAAAAUUUUACAGUUCAAUUCCACGAUCAUCGUUAAUAAUUUAAGCUAUUUGUGUUAGAAGCGUGAUUUAUGCUGAUACCGAUUAUAUAACCCAAAAUUUAAAAUAGAACUAAAUAAUAUAGAAAAGAAAUAUUGGAGGAGGAAGAAAUAGCUAAACUAAUACUUUAUUAAUAAAAAGCAAUUAAUUACAUUUCGGGCAACACCCUCGGCCAUGUCUAUUAUAUAUGACUUAUUCAUCUAAUUAGCCCAUGCCUAACUAUAUAUAGCCAUCAAAUCAUAACAGAUGAUAAAUUCAAUUUUAUUUUGGAUAAUUACAUAUCUUAAUCAUAGUCAAAUAAAAUAUUUAAACUUAUCUCUAAUUAAUUAUAUUUUAAUUAAAUUUGGAUUAUUAUUCCAACAAUUUGAUAUAAUGGAAAAGUUAUAGGUAGCUGAUUAAUGCAAUUUUCAGUGCAAGAGUACUACAACUGAGAUGUGGGCUAAAGUGUGAGGAGGAGUUUUAUAAUUUAUACCUAAAAAAGUAUAGAGCAUCAAAAUUAAUGAGGUUUGUUGUAAAAAAGCAUUACCUAAUUAGGCAUAAUAUAUAGAGUGAGGCUACUAUGCUAUCGGAAGUACGGAGCCUACUGUGCUUCCAGCUCGUUUUCGAUGUUGCGACUUCGAAUCGUCGAUCGGCUCCGUUAAACUUGAUCUAGAGUAUUUAAAGUAUCUAGAAAAUAAAUUUUAUUAUUUUUCGAUAUCAUUUGCCUAGUGAUCGAAGCGGCUACAAAUCAACAAAUUUCAAUGGCCAUAGUGAGCCAUUUGCAAGUUUAACGGUGUAGAAAUAUUCAAAUCACGUGAAAUUUUGAUAGAAAAUUCUUUAUACUAUAUAAAACAAGAUCAAUAUCUUUGAUUUAAAAUUUUAAUGUCAUAUUAUUAUAUUUUGUAAGAUUUUUAUUUUCAGCCGUUGAUAUUAAGCCGCUUCGUUCACUAGGCAAAUGAUAUCGUAAAAUCAUAAAAUUUAUUUUCUAGGUACUUCAAAUACCUCCUAUCAAGUUUAACGGAGCGGAUCGACAAUUUGAAAGCUGCGAACAUCGAAAACGAGCUGGAAGCACGGAGGGCUCUGUGCUUCCAGAAGCAUACCAGCCCACUCUAUAUAUAUAUAUAUAUAUAAUAUUAUAUAUAUUAUAUAUAUAUAUAUAUAUAGAGUGGGCUGGUAUGCUUCUGAAGCACAGAGCCCUCCGUGCUUCCAAGUUGUUUUCGAUGUUCGGACUUUCGAAUCGACGAUCGGCUCCAUUAGAGUUAAUCUAGAGUAUUUGAAGUAUUUAGAAAUAAAUUUCGCGAUUUUUCAUAUUAUUUGCCUAGUGAUCGAAGGGGCUCAAAAUCAAUAAUUUUAACGGCCGUGGUGAGCCGUUUGCAAGUUUAACGGUGUAGAAAUAUCCAAAUCACAUGAAAUUUUGAUAGAAAAUUCUUUAUACCAUAUAAAACAAGAUCAAUAACUUUGAUCUAAAAUUUUAAUAUCAUAUCAUCAUAUUUUGUAAGAUUUUUAUUUUCAGCCGUUGAUUUUGAGCCCCUUCGAUCACUAGGCAAAUGAUAUCGAAAAAUCGCGAAAUUUAUUUUCUAGAUACUUCAAAUACUCUAGAUCAAGUCUAACAGAGCCGAUCGUCGAUUCGAAAGUCCCAACAUCGAAAACAACUUGAAAGUACGGAGUGCUCCGUGCUUCCAAAAGCACCCCAGACGCACUCUAUAUAUAUAUAUAUAUAUAUAUAUAUAUAUAUAUAUAUAUAUUGUAGUUGGAAAACAAAUACAAUAUUACUCCUGUACUUAACUAAUUUUUUUGUGGUACCUCUUCUAGACAAAUAUAUAUAAAAGCAUUUACCAAGGACAAUACCUAACUUUUUGUCUAUUUCUAAGCAUUAAUUUCUAGCAAACUCUUUGACCAUUUAAUUUGGCAAAUUUGGGACAAUUUUGGGCUUAAAAUAAAUGUGCUUUAAAGUUGUCAUUCAAUGGGUUAGGAACAAUAUAAACUUUAGUUCAAUAUUUGACUACAUUAUAAUAUUGCCCUUCUAUUGUUGAAUAUCAAAAAAGAACAAAUAUUAUUAGGGUUGGAAUUCUCCUAAGAGUACCCUUUAAUGAUUAAAAUUAUGCCAUUAAGCUUAUAUAUUUUUCAAUAUUUUAUUGUAGUUAUAUUACACAAGGAACUACAUGUCAUCUCAAACUAAUGUAUAGAUCCAAUUUGAUUAUCUUAAGAAAACAAUUUGGGAAAAAUUAGAUAAUAUGAAAGUUAUAUAUUUUCAACCCUAACGUUUUUCUUCUGUUAUAGUUGGCAAUCUUUUAUUAUUAUUAUUAUUAUUUUUUCCUUCAAACAAACACGUAAAUUUCAUUUUAGGCUACUCACGUCUUUGAAAAGUCGAAGACUAGCUAUAUCAUCUUAUAUUUAAAAGUGUAUAUGAAGAACUGAACCUCUGUCCUCUUAAUAAUUAAUGAUUCGAGAUACCAACCAACUGCAUUAAGCAGUAGUGAUAUAAUGGAGAAUAUACACGUAAAAAUUAAAAUUAUAUCUAUGCUUAUAAAAUUGAAACUGAAUUAAUUUUUUUGUAACAACAAAAGUCUUUAGGUACAUAUAUACAUGUACUUUAAGCCAGGUAAAAAUUCUCUGUUCCCAAAAAUGCUACAUAAAAUAUACAUCUAUGUAAUAACACCAAACACUGUUUAGAUGUACAUCCAACUAUAUAACUAUUUAAAAGAGAUGUACCAAUAAUGGCAAAAGGUGAUGAGCUCAACUCAAAGCAAACAAUAUGUACACCAACUUUCACUGUGCAAAACAUUUAUGAUUCAUGUAUUUUUUAUCAAUUAUAUAUAAAUAUUUAUCAUUAAUGGAGUUACCCUAGAAUACCUCUAUGCUGGUGUGUGGUGCUAUUGAGUCUUUUUUUUUUUUUUUUAUGGAGUGAUGGAAUUCGAUGAUUUACGAUGUUGAAUGAUCGAGAGUUUCAUAAUUUUAGAAAAUUGUUUUGUAGUUCAUCAAGUGAUCGUAAAAUACACGAUCAAAAUAGAACAAAUCUGUCGAAAUUUUAGAAUAGAAGUCUCAAAUUCAAAAUCAGGAUAGCGUAUUUUGAUCUAGAUUGUUAAAAAAUUUAAUUGAUUUUAAUGGUGUUAUACCAUUAAAAGAAAAAAUGUGUCAUAUAGGGUAUUAAAAUUAUUCAAUUUAAAUUGUAUAUUUACAUUACUGUUGCUUCAAAUAGGUCUAAGAUUUAAAAUAAGGGGCAAUUACUUAUAUAUCACUGAAAAGUUUCCGACUUUCUGAUUUACCUCUCUUAAUUAGAAGACUAAUAUUGAAAAUACUUUUUUUACGUUUCAACCUAUUUCAAAUAUACCCCUAAAGUUAAAAUCUGUUAAUGAACUCUGUUAUUUCUAUAAAAUUACUAUUUUGCCCUUUCAAAUAUACCCUUCUAUCUGCACGGAUUUUUUUAUUUGCCCUUAAGUUAGGGGCACAAAAAGUAUUUUGUUUUUAAUCUUUUCAAAUAUACACUUUUACCAUCACCAAUAUUUCUUAUUUACUCUUAAGUUAAGGACAAAUAUGACGUUUUAAUUUUUUUUUAACUGUGGUAGAUAUUUAACUCACAUUUAACCCAAGUUAACUUAACGGAUGAUAACGGUAGGGGUGCGUUUGGUUCCCACUAUGAAAGAUUACUAGCAAUAAAAAGAUGUCCGAAAAUUUUAUUACUAUUCAUUCUAUUACUAAGAAUGUGGUAUUCUUGUAUUUGGUUCGUACGGUUAUAUUAUUUAGUCAUAUUAUUUAAGUUUACAAAAAAUAUACAAUUAAUAUAUUUAUUUCUUUAAUUAAUUUUAGAUAAUGGCAUCAAAAAUUUCAACAUCUUUUUAGAAAAAGGGAGAGAGAGAACAUAGGUUAGAGAAAGAGAGAGAGCAUAAUUAAAGAAAUAGAAAGAGAAAUAGAAUUAAGAUUAGAGGAAGUGAGAGAGUUGAGAUUUUAGAAAAAGAGGAGAAGAAAGAGCUUAGGUUAGAGAGAGAAAAAGAGUUGAAGUUUAGAGAGAAAAAAUAAGUUUAGAGAGAGAUAUGAAGUUUGAAUGUAAAGAAAAAUAAUACCAACUAGCCGGCGGGUAAGGAAAAAGAAAGAGAUUAGAUAUAUUAUGAUUAUCCUAAUCCAUUAAUACGAGGAUACUCAUCAUUCCUCAAGGGAAUGAGAUCAGUACUUUGGGAUGAAUCUCAUUCCCAAAUAAAUCUAAUAUUACCGAUUAGAUUACUUAGUGCGUUUAGUCAAAUACCGUCAUAUUUUUUUAUUCCUAUUGGAUUAUUAGGAAUAUUAAAAAGAUAGCGCGAACCAAACGCACCCUAGGAGCAUUUUGAAAUAACGAAGGAACAUAUGAGAAAUAUAUUAGAAAGAAAAAAAAAAAAAGGAUAAAUCACUAGCUGUUUACACUUUAUUGCUCACACCUUAAGAAUAAAAUGUGUUUCAAGGGACAAAGAUUAUUAUGAUGUUUCACAGAUCCUAAUCUGACUCGCUCAUGAAUUCUAAUCAGACCCGAAUUUGUAGUCUCUUUUUUAUUAUAUUAGAAAAGAUAUUUUGUUUGAGAUAUCUAUUAGAUUAAGAAUAUGUUUUAAUUUAUUCUUUUCUAAUUAGUCCGUUUAUCAUAUGGACUUAUUAUAAUGAUUCUAACUCUAUAAAUAAAAAGCUUUGUGUUUUUAUAGAAAAGGUCCAUUCAAUUAAUAAAGAAGUGAGUUUUUUUAAAUAACUUUUAGCAGGUUAAGUUAGGAGAGAAGAUCUCUCUUUCUCUCUGUAGCGGAGAAGUGUCAAAUAAAGACAUUAAAUUUAUUUAUCAGUAUCAAUUUUACAACCAGAAAUUAACAUGAGAUCCUAACAUAUUCUAACUCAUUUGUAUAUAAUUUUGUAUCCAAAAUGUGUAAUUAUUUUAAAAUUUGAAAGGUGGGCUAAAGUGCUGAUUUUUAUUUGUGGGCAAUUAUUGAUAUAUUCCUGAAAAAUUUUUGACUUUCUUAUUUACCUUUCUUAAAAUGCUAAUAUUAAAAAUACUCUUUUAAUAUUUCAAGUUAUUUCAAAUAUAUUUCUAUAGUUAAAAUCUGUUAGUGAAUUAUUAAGAAAACCGUUAUCUCUGUAAAAUUACUAUUUUGCAAGUAUACCCUUCUACAAUCAUUGACAUUUCUUAUAUGCCCUUAAAUUAGGAGCAAAAGAGAUAUUUUGACCUUUUUUUUUUUCAAAAAUAUUCUUCUACCGUCAUCAGCUUUUCUUAUUUGCUCUUAAGUUAGGGGGCCAAAUAGGUAUUUUGACUUCUUUUUAACUCUGGUAGAAAUUUAAUUCGGAUUCAAUCCGAGAUGACUUAACAUAAAUAUAUUAAAUAACAAAUAAAUAUAUGAGUGGGGUAUUUGAAAUAAAAAAAAUAGAAAUAUAUAAAAUGUUUCAAAAUUUUUGAAAGGUAUAUUAAAUACUGUCCUAUGUGUUGUGUGUGUGUGUGUGUGUGUGUGUGUGUUUGGUGUGGCGGGGGAGAGGCACUGAUAUAGCUAACUGCAAUAAGGAAAUUGUGUGAAGGCUUGUCUGAAAUUGUUCACAUCACUUUCUGGGGAAGCUACUGUUGGACAAAAUUGGUCCUUUAUCAGUCAGGAGAAAAAGCCUGCUGCUGUCAAACUUUUUAAAUGGCUUUUGGGUUUGCUCAUGAUCAGAAUGCUGUUCAGAAAGCAUCAAACAAACAAUCUCUCUCUCUCUCUCUCUCUCUCUCUCUCUUCUCUCUCUCUCUCUCUACUGGAAUAAAGAUCAGAGAGAAGGGUAAAUUGUAUUUAUAGUCCCUGUACUUCUCACAUAUCAUGCCUCCAUCCUUGUACAAUCUGUCCAACUUUUUAGGGCCUGUUUGUUUUUGUGGAGCUCGUAACGCCGAGAAAGUCGUCGGCGUCAGCGUUUGUUUCGGUGGUAUCUGAAGCUAUGAAAUUGCCCAAACUCCCAUUACUCCCAAUUGUUCAGAGAUCGAUCUUUCGACUUUGAUGGAAUACGGGACGAGUCAAUUUUAGUUUCUAAACUUUCUUAUGUACGUUAGUCUUCUAAUUAUUUUAUCUGUUCAGUGUUAAAUUUUAAUAGUUUUAAUCACUCUUCAAUUUCAAUUUUAGUAAUUCACAGAACAGAUAAAUUUGUUAGAAUUAUUAACGUAUACAAAAAAGUAAAAGUUAAGGAGGUGUUACAGUAAAAAGUAGAGUUGAAAGAUCCAUAUCAACAUUUUUACUUUAAAUUUACUUCAAAUGGGUCAAAAAGUGCACUCAUUCUAUUAGUUAAAAUAUUUUAGACUUUUCAAAAAUAUUAUCUUUAUAUGUUGCUGAACCAUUAACAAUCACGUAUAAUAUUUUUUUAAAACGUAUAAUAUUUUUUAAAAAAUAAGCAUCACCUAGUAAAUAAUAUAUAAUAAGAGAAUUAUAAAAAAAUACAAAGAAGUACUUUUUUAUUGGAUUUAGAUGGAAAGAAUAAGGGAAAAGGGAAAAGAAAAAAAAAAGAAAAAAAAGAAGAAAAAGUUCUUUUCAUAGAAGAAAAAGUACUUUCCAUAGGAGAAGAGAAGAGAAAAUUCUCUCUCUCUCUACUUUUUGGGAGAAAGAAAAAAAAAGAAUGUUAAUUAUUACGAAAGGUCCUUUUCUUUGUCUCCUUUUCUUUUCCAGUCCUUUGAUAUCACAAGAAUUACUUUAGAAAAAGAAAAGGUAGAAAAAAAAAUGAAUGGAGCCCCCUGGACUAUAGGGAAUUUUGAAGUGACCCUCUUAACUUCCCUUUUUUAAUUUAUUGGUGCUUCCUGAACUUUUAAUCUUUUAUUUAAGUUUUUUUAAUAUUUAGUUAAGCUAAAAUUUAUAUAAAUUUAAUAACUUUAUUCGAAUUUGUUGAUGUUGCACCCACGAAGUAUGGAAAGUGCCAAACAUUGGGAACUACCCGGGGAGGAGUUAGGAACAGGAACAAGGAGAAGCGAGAACCACUUAAAUGGUGGAAUCGAUUGUAUUUUUAAUGUUUUGCUAAAAUAAUUAUGCUAAAAUAAUUAGAAUUAUUUCACUUAAUGAAAUUAUUAAUAAACUUUUUGAAAUAUUUUAUUAAAAUUAUUUAAUUUUAAAAGAUCAAAAGUUAAGAAAGUCUCACCGGAAGAAAUAUAAGAUCGAAAAAACUAGCACCGGCCAGAAAGAAACAAGUUUUGUUUGCAAAAGAAGUCAAUACAAGGGGAGUGAUUAAUAGAUUUGUGUAGUCAUCAAAUCCAAUCCAACUUGCACUAGAUUGAGGGUGUUUUUAAAAAUAGACCUAUAUUUGAGGAGGCCUUCAUAAAUUUUCACCCUGCAACAAAAGGAGGAGUGCUAGAUCAACAACCCAACUUGGGUUCUAAUCUUAUAACUCCACGGAUUCAAAACUCUUUCUGUUUUUGUUUUUUUUUUUUUUUUUUUUUNNNNNNNNNNNNNNNNNNNNNUUUUUUUUUUUUUUUUUUUUCUGCUUGUCUUAUUAAUUUUUUUUUUUUAGUAUAAACUUAGCGUUUUCUAAAUUAUUACAAUCAAAUUUUACAACUUUUCAGUAUUAGAGUUAAAGAAGCAAUAAUGUUAUACUUUAAAUAAGUCAGUAGUUAAUGAACUGAUUGAAUCGUCGAAUAUAGUUACAGUAAUUAAAAAAUUUAAGUCAAAAAUUAUAAUAAAUUAAAGCUUGCGGAUCAAAGCGUCGCACACUGCUUGUAGUGUGAGGACCAAAAAUAUAAUGUACCAAAAGAAAAUAAAAAAUUAAAGUAAAAAAAGAAAAAGAGCAGCAGCAGCAGUAGAAGAAAAGUAAAUGCACCCACCAGAAGGAAAGAAAGAAAGAGAGAAAGAAAGAAGUAUUAUAUAUUAAUUAGUAAUAAUAAUAAUAAUAAUAAUAAUAAUAAUACCCCUUCCCUUGUGAUUAUAUAACCCUCUCCACUCCUCCCCUCCUCCCUUUCUUCUCCUUGCAAGUUGCAACCCCACCCCACCUUCCCCUUUCCCCCUCCUUUCCCCCUCCAUCAAAAUUCUACCCUAACCCUAACCCUAACCCUAAACCCUCUCUCUCUCUCUCUCUCUCUCUCUCUUGCGAUUGCGAUAUCGAUUGCGAUUCCGAUGAUGGCCCACGUCGAAAUGGGGCCAGGCGAGGCCGCCGCCGCCGCCGCAGCAGCAGCAGCAGCAGCGGCGGCGCCGGUGAUCAAGCUCUUCGGGGCCGUGAUCCACGAUCGGCCCCCGAAGGAGGAGGAAGAAGACGACGACGACGACGCGGCUUCGGCGUCGGCGGCGGCGGCGGCGGCGGCGGCGCGGCCUCCGCCGCCAUCGUCCUCGGCGGAGUCUGGAGGCGGCGGCGGAGGGGGUGGUGGGGGGGCGGCGGCGGCGGGGGUUUCGGCGCCGCUGCCGUGCCCGCGGUGCCGGAGCCGGGAGACGAAGUUCUGCUACUUCAACAACUACAACGUGAACCAGCCGCGGCACUUCUGCAAGUCCUGCCGCCAGCUAACUGGGACCGCCGGCGGCGCCCCCGCAACGUCCCGUCGGCGCCGGCCGCCGCAAGGCCCGUCCCCUCCCCACCCCUCCCCCGACCGCUGCUUCCCCCGCCCGAUCGCUCCGCGGUUCCGCCGCCCCCCGCUUCGGCUGACCAAGAUUCACGACGAGGACGAGGACGAGGACGAUCAUCAUCAUCAUCAUCAUCAUCAUCAACAACGAUUAGCGAUCGAUUACCAUGUGAGCCUCGCACAUGGAAACCUUUUUUUUUUUCUCUUUUUUUUUUUAACUUCUUAUUUUCUUAUUUCUAUUUGUUUUCUGUGAACAUAUAUGGAGAAAUUUCGCCUCUUUCUUUUUUUUAUUUUUAUAUUAAUUAAUGCUUUUUUUUUCUUUUUCCUAUUUUGCACUACUUCUGCACACAAACAAACAAACAAGAUUAUCGAUCCUGCUAUUUAUUCAUCCCAACAAUCUGAAGAUCGAAGAGAAUGCGUCUCCGUCUCUCGUUUUUAAUGUGUGAAUCAAUUGAAAAGGUCUUUUAACUUCGAUGAGAAUUAUCACCCGAUAAUAACAUUUGAUAUCGACGGUAUGGCCAAUCUCUAUUUUUUAUUUUUACAUGAUAGCUUUUUUUCUUUUUCUUUUUUUACAUGAUAGCGAAUUUGUUUUAACAAAAAGUAAAAUUGUACAAAAAUUUGAAACUAAUGUUAGUAAAUUAACACUUUUUUAUUUUUUUUAAAUUUUUUCUCUCUAAUAUAUUUUUUUUUUUUUUUGUCUCAGUUCAAAGAAUCAGUGCACCACCCCCCGAAAAAAAGAAAAAAAGAAAAAACGUAACGAAUACUUCAAAACAAAAUUGUCGUUUUUUGAGCACGGAAAAUUUGAAGAAAAAGACUCAGAAAAAGAAAAGAGACAAAUUAAAAAGGCAUAUUUUUUUAAGAGACACGUGGCAUUUAUUAAUUUGUCCUUGUGCAGUUGAAAAAGUCAACCCAAUUCGUUGGGUUGUUGCUUUUAGAUUAGGGCGAAAAACAGUGUUUUGUUUUUGGAUUUUUUUUUUUUCCUCGAGCGUUAGCAUUUUUCUUCGGCAUCAAUUUUUUUUUUCUUUGUCCUUUUAUAAUUAGCCGGCGACGUUUUAUAUAUAUAUAUAUAUAUAUAUAUAUAUAAUUGAGUUAGAAUACUCUCAAAAGCAUCUUUCGGGUUUCUAGUCUUUGGAUUUAUUUCUUAAUUACUAAUAACAUUUGGAUUAAACACUAUUCCACCUACCAUCAUCAUCUCACCCUACAUUUCUCCAUCCAACAGCUAAACACUCAAAAGCACCCACCCCUUGGUGCUUUUGAUAGUAUUUUAGCUCAACUAUAUAUAUAUAUAUAUAUAUAUAUAUAUAUAUAGAGAGAGAGAGAGAAAUAUUAGGGUUAUUAUAUUUUUAUGAAUAUUGAACCUUUUGUACUCAUAAGUUUUCGGCCGUUGAAUGAAGGGAUAUAGGGUUAGAAUGAUAGUGAUCCCCGGUUAAGAUGAUAGUGAUCCUUUAUGGUUGAGUGGGUGGUUGGUUGAAAAGUAUGAUCUAAUUGAUGGAAAUGGUCAAAAUGGUAGAUCUAACGGUCGAAAACUCAUGGAUACAAAGAAGGUAAUACUCAUGAGAGUAGAGUAGCCGGAUUAUAUAUAUAUAUAUAGUCCAGCUAGUAUACUAUCGAUAGUACCAAGUUCGUACUAUCGAGUUUUCUGACGUUAGAUCUAUCAUUUGAUUAUUUCCACUUGUUAGUUUAUACUAUUCAACCAACCACCCACUCAACACUAAGGGUGACGUUAGAUAUAUCCUUUAAGCAUUUUCACCCGUUAAAUUAUACUAUUCAACUAACCACCCACUCAACCCUAGAGGUGACGUUAGAUCUAUCCUUUGAUCAUUUCUAUCCGUUACUUUAUACUAUUCAACCAACCACCCACUCAACCCUAGGGGUGACGUUAGAUAUAUCCUUUAAUCAUUUUCACCCGUUAGAUUAUACUAUUCAAUUAACCACCCACUAAACCCUAGAGGCGACGUUAGAUCUAUCCUUUGAUCAUCUCUAGCCUUUAAAUUAUACUAUUCAACCAACUACCUACUCAACCCUAUAGGGGUAACGUUAGAUCAAUUCUUUGAUCAUUUCCACCCAUUAUAUUAUACUAUUCAACCAACCACCCACUCAACCCUAGGGGUGACGUUUGAUCUACCCUUUGACCAUUUCCGCCCGUUAGAUCAUAUUACCCUUUGACCACUCAACCCUAUAGGGAACCACUAUCAUCUUAACUAUACAUCCCUUCAUCCAAUGGCUGAAAACUUAUAAGUACAAAGGUAGAAUUACUAUACUUUUAUAAUUAUAGAACUCUUCGUACUCAUAAGUUGUUUUCGAUGAUGGGGCUUAGAAACUCAUCAUCGAUAGUAUUAAGAGCUUCGUACUAUCGAUAGUAUAGUGGCCGAAUUCUAUAUUAUAUAGAAUUAUGCCACUAUACUAUUUAUAAUACCAAGCGCUUUGUACUACCAAGUUUUCGGCCAUUGGAUAAAAGAAUGUGCGAUUAGGAUGAUAGUGGUCCCUCAGGGUUGAGCGAGUGGUUGAUUGAAUAGUAUGAUCUAACGGACGAAAAUAAUCAAAGGGUGAAUCUAACGGCAGAAAAUUCGAUAAUACUAAGAGCUUUGUACUAUUGAUAGUAUAAUAGCCGAACUCUCUCUCUCUCUCUCUCUCUCUCUCUCUCUCUCUCUCUCUCUCUAUAUAUAUAUAUAUAUAUAUAUAU